AGUUGGAGUUGAGGCUUGUGAGUUAAAGGGUUAGUUAUAUUUCAUGUAUUUCUGUGCAUGACGUCUGCGCUUGUUGGAUUCUCCAUGGAGCACCGGGAGGAAUACUGAUCACUUUGUUGUUGCUGCAAACAUCUCCUCUGGGGAAAAGCUUUGUGAUGGAGGUAGAAGUCCCCCAGAGGAUCAACCAUAAAGCGGAUCACCAGGAGAAGGUGAAGAACAGCAAGCUGCUGCUGGAGCGGGGCCAGUGGGCCAACAAGCUGGAGUUCCUGCUGGCCGUGGCCGGAACCAUGGUGGGGCUGGGGAACCUGUGGCGGUUCCCCUACUUAUGUUACAAAAACGGAGGAGGUGCCUUUCUGGUUCCCUAUGUGUUGUUUCUGGUCUCCUGUGGUAUCCCCAUGUUUCUGCUGGAGACCGCCAUGGGGCAGUACACGUCCCAGGGAUGCAUUACCUGCUGGAGGUCCUUCUGCCCGUUGUUUGAAGGGAUAGGCUACGCCACACAGGUGGUGAUCGCCUACGCGGCCGUCUCCUACAUCGUGAUCCAGGCCUGGGCCUUCUUCUACCUGUUCUCCUCCUUCAGCAGCGAGGUGCCCUGGGCAUCCUGCCACAACGCCUGGAACACAAAUUCAUGCGUGGAAUUCGAUAAGAGAAAUUCUUCAUUCAACUGGACUGCAUCUUCAAAUGAAACUUCGCCUGCAACAGAGUUCUGGGAGAGACGGGUGUUGAAGAUAUCUGGAGGGAUCGAGGAGAUUGGCAGCCUGCGCUGGGAGCUGGUUCUGUGUCUGAUCUUAGCUUGGGUGCUGUGCUACUUCUGUGUCUGGAAGGGAGUCAAGUCUACUGGAAAGGUGGUGUACUUCACGGCCACCUUCCCCUACCUGAUGCUGGUGGUGCUGCUGGUCCGGGGGCUGACGCUGCCGGGGGCCAUCGACGGGAUCAAGUUCUACCUCUACCCGGACCCUACCAGGUUGGUGGACCCUCAAGUGUGGAUGGACGCCGGGGCCCAGGUGCUCUUCUCCUUCGCCAUCUGCCAGGGGAGCCUGACCGCCCUGGGGAGCUACAACCAGUACAACAACGACGUCUACAAGGACACCUUCAUCCUGUGUCUGGUGAACGGCGGCUCCAGUUUCCUGGCUGGUUUCGCCAUCUUCUCAGUGCUGGGCUUCAUGUCCUACGAGCAGGGCGUGGCCAUCUCUGAAGUGGCCGCGACCGGACCCGGCCUGGCGUUCAUCGCCUACCCCCGGGCCGUGGCCAUGAUGCCCUUACCCCAGCUGUGGUCUGUCUGCUUCUUUGUCAUGGUGAUUCUGCUCGGGGCCGACACACAGUUUGUGAGCCUGGAGUGCCUGAUGACUUCGGUCACAGACAUGUUCCCAAACGUGUUCAGGAGGGGCUACCGACGAGAGCUGCUCCUCUUCUUCAUCUGCACCGUCUGCCUCCUGCUUGGACUGCUGCUGGUCACCGAGGGAGGCCUGUACUUCCUGCAGCUGUUUGAUCAUUACGUCUGUAGUGGCAACAACCUCCUCCUGCUGUCAGUCUGCCAAUCCAUAGCGAUCGGCUGGAUUUAUGGUGCUGAUAACUUCUAUGAUGACAUUGAAGACAUGAUCGGAUACCGGCCAUGGCCGGUCAUGAAGUACUGCUGGCUGUAUCUGACUCCUGCAGUCUGUCUGGGCACCUUCAUCUUCUCAGUGUUGAAGUACCAGCCCUUGAAGUUCAACAAGACCUAUGUUUAUCCUGGAUGGGCCUACGCGCUGGGCUGGAGCCUGGGCCUUUUCUGUGUGUUCCUUGUGCCACUGUGGAUGGUCUUCAAAGUGUCUACGAUGAAGGGAGACCUCAUACAGAGAAUCAAACAACUGUGCAUUCCCGAAAAUAACAACCUCAGCAAAAAGCACACGUCGUCGGAGCAGUGCCCUCUGGACCCUGACAACCACCUGCUGCCGGCCCCCCGGGGGGAGUACAAGGAGCAGGGCCUUUGCGCAGAGGGGGACAUGCCUGUAUGACCCCGGCCGCCGUCGCUCUGGAAGCACGCCUUUAUUUUGUAGGCUAUGCAUUUUAGAAAUGUAACAAUAGGAGCCUAUAAUAAAAGCCCUUUUUCUAUUAAAGGGAGAACGGGGUUGCCCUCGUGGGGGAUAUUUCUCAACUUAGGCUUCUGUGAAGAGGUGGAAGCAGCUCCCCAGGCUGGAUGAGUUGGAUGACACUGCAAGGUCUGGAACACAGACACCAUCAGGCCAUCGAAAAACCUUAACGUCCCCAGCGGUUGGCCGAACGUGAUGUUUGCAUUACCUGAACUCUAUGGGACAAGAGACUUCCUUUCCCCAAUUGAAGAUGGUGAUUUUCAACUGUGCAAAAAUGAAUGUAUCUUUCGCCAGACCAAACCGUGUUAUCCAGAUCUAUAUGAACUAUGCAACAUCUUUAUGGCUGAUUCCAAUCUCACUCUAGCAACAGAUCCAUAUCAGGCAGUGAAUUUGUACAUGCAUCCUCAGAGAGGCCAUCAGGGCAUGUGUGUAGGUCAGACGUAUUUAGUUGUGUCUUGUGUUGAGCUUCGAAGUGGCAGGAUUUUUUGGUCACAUAAGUAAUUCACCUUGCUGUCCUUUUCCUUUAUAAGUUUCCUUUAAAGUCAUAACUCAACAUCUCUAGCUUUUGGCAAAUGUUAUUUUCCUUUAAACGAUGGUUUAGAAACACAGAAAUGGGGGGGGCUUUAUAGACAAAGCCUGUAAAAAGUAAAUCAAAUGUGUAUCAAUUUCAGAACUUUACUUUAACAAAUGUAUCACUUAUUUCAGUUAGAAUUGUAUUUAUAAAAAAAAGGUAACUGGCAGUAACUAAAUGUGAAUACUUAUUCUGAGUCUUUCAUGAUAGAAUAUCAUUGGAUUUCAAAUGAUGGGACCAAAAAAAUGGAUGUAUCUAUCGAACUCUGAACUUCUGAUGGCCAAUCAGUACAAAUAUUGACAUGUUAACGACAGAAAAGCAUUUUGAAAUUAUCUGUGCAUUUACAACCUGUAGUUUCAAAUACUGAGAGUGGGGUUAAAAAACGACAACACACGCUAUUCAUGUUUUUAUUGAGACUGGAAUUUUUUUAUUACUGUAACUAUAUUGCUAUCCCGUAUGUGGAAACAAAAAAUUGCCAAACAAGUUUGGUGCCGUUUCCUGAUAUUUUCAGGCCAUAUUUUUCACUGGCCACAUUAGCUAGAUGAAAAACGUAAUGAAUUAAUAAUUGUACUUGUUCAAGAACAAUUUACUAAUUAUUUCUUGUAAUCAGACUAGUAUUACUUUUCAUACCAUGACAAGUUCCUGAAGUCUUCUUCUUAAUGUCACAUGAUGUUGCUGCAGUGUCAACACAGCUGAUUGUAUACAGCAGGGGGUGCGGUCGUCCUGCCGGUUCAAGUAGGAUGACCUGAAACCUGUAUAAAAUCAGCUGUCUUGACACCACAGCAACAUCAUGUGAUAUUUAGAAGAAGACUGCAGGAACAUUAACAAUAAAAACAUGUCAGGGUAUGAAAAGUAAUACUAGUUGUAUAUUAUGUACACUAUCUAAUAUCUAUCUACACUAGUAGUUUCGUCGUCUGAGACGUCUCGCUAGCCUUCGUGACACUCCUCUGGGAUCGAGCUCUUUCAAUAACAACCGCACAUCCUCUUUCCUCACACGCAGUCCAUGCUCCCUGCAUUUAGCGUACAUCCAUCGGUACCCGUGAAGCUGUCCAGAGUACUGCAGUUGGUCGCUAAUAAAAUCCACCAGGACCGACAGGUCAGAGUACGCCUUGCGGCGAGUGUCCCCUAUCUCGCAGUAUCCUCUUCAGAUGUCUCUCACUUAUGUGGAAGGCGUGCCUACUGGCAAGCAUUGAUUUGAUGUCCGAAUAUUUGCGGCCAAGCUCAAAAUAAACGAUGAUCUCCCAUGCUUCAUCGUUGCGGUCGUCAGUUUUUCCUCUGACACGGAAGAUAAAUUCUGACCCGGAAGUUGGUUUGCGAUUUCUCGCAAACCAAAUUAUUAUUUUUCUCUCUGAUUUUUAUUUUAUUUUUUUCAACCAAAAUAUUUUUUU